GGACGCGAGGGUGAUCUGGUUGCAGCAGCUGUUGCCAAAGUUGACCUGGCUGAUCUGGCUGGGUAUAGGCGGGCCCCUCCCUCACCCCUCCACAGGCAUCCCUCCGAAGCUGUGUGCUCCGUCAAAGUGGGCCACCUUUCACCUUCCAUAAAGGAGGAUCAUUUCCUCAGUCAAGGCGGGUAGCUUUGUUCCCCUGCUACAACCUCCAAAGAAGCUCUUGAGAUGGUACAAACUUUAGCCAAACAUAGUGGUGUGUGCCUGUAAUCCUGGUAUCCUGUGAGGCUGAGACAGCAGGACAGCAAGUUCAAGCCCAGCCUGGGCAAUUGCCA
rfam:Fukomys damarensis contig91454, whole genome shotgun sequence.